rnacentral:rRNA from 1 species
CGAGUGAAGAGGGAAAAGCUCAAAUUUUGAAUCUGGUGUCUUUGACCCCCGAGUUGUAAUCUAGAGAAGUGUUUUCCGCUUUGGACCGUGUACAAGUCUCCUGGAACGGGGCGUCAUAGAGGGUGAGAAUCCCGUAUAUGCCACGGACUACCAAUGCUCUGUGAUACACUCUCAACGAGUCGAGUUGUUUGGGAAUGCAGCUCAAAAUGGGUGGUAAAUUCCAUCUAAAGCUAAGUAUUGGCGAGAGACCGAUAGCGAACAAGUACCGUGAGGGAAAGAUGAAAAGCACUUUGGAAAGAGAGUGAAACAGUACGUGAAAUUGUUGAAAGGGAAGCGUUUGAAGUCAGUCGUAUCUGUCGGAAUUCAGCCUGGCUUCUGCCUGGUGUACUUUCCGUCCGAUGGGUCAGCAUCAAUUUUGACCGAGGGAAAAAGAUGUUCGGAAUGUGGCUGUCUUCGGGCAGUGUUAUAGCCUUGCGUUGUAUGUCUCGGUUGGGAUUGAGGAACGCAGCGCGCCUGUUGGCCGGGGUUCGCGCCCUCGGUACGCGCUUAGGAUGCUGGCA